rnacentral:rRNA from 1 species
AUUGAACGCUGGCGGCAGGCCUAACACAUGCAAGUCGAGCGAGCGGCGGACGGGUGAGUAAUGGCUGGGAAACUGCCUGAUGGAGGGGGAUAACUACUGGAAACGGUAGCUAAUACCGCAUACCAUCAGAUGUGCCCAGGUGGGAUUAGCUAGUAGGUGGGGUAACGGAUCACCUAGGCGACGAUCCCUAGCUGGUCUGUGAGGAUGACCAGCCAGACUGGAACUGAGACACGGUCCAGACUCCUACGGGAGGAAGCAGUGGGGAAUAUUGCACAAUGGGCGCAAGCCUGAUGCAGCCAUGCAGCGUGUGUGAAGAAGGCCUUCGGGUUGUAAAGCUCUUUCAGCGGGGAUGCGGUACCCGCAGAAGAAGCACCGGCUAACUCCGUGCCAGCAGCCGCGGUAAUUC